GACGAACGCUGGCGGCGUGCUUAACACAUGCAAGUCGAACGCUGAAGCUCAGCUUUUGUUGGGUGGAUGAGUGGCGAACGGGUGAGUAACACGUGAGUAACCUGCCUCCUUCUUUGGGAUAACGCCCGGAAACGGGUGCUAAUACUGGAUAUUCACUGGUCUUCGCAUGGGGGUUGGUGGAAAGGGUUUUUCUGGUGGGGGAUGGGCUCGCGGCCUAUCAGCUUGUUGGUGGGGUGAUGGCCUACCAAGGCUUUGACGGGUAGCCGGCCUGAGAGGGUGACCGGUCACAUUGGGACUGAGAUACGGCCCAGACUCCUACGGGAGGCAGCAGUGGGGAAUAUUCCACAAUGGGCGCAAGCCUGAUGCAGCGACGCCGCGUGAGGGAUGGAGGCCUUCGGGUUGUGAACCUCUUUCGCUCAUGGUCAAGCCGCAACAAUGGUUGUGGUGAGGGUAGUGGGUAAAGAAACGCCGGCUAACUACGU
rnacentral:rRNA from 1 species